rnacentral:rRNA from 1 species
CGCUGGCGGCGUGCCUAAUACAUGCAAGUCGAGCGAAUCAAUAGGAGCUUGCUCCUGUUGAUUAGCGGCGGACGGGUGAGUAACACGUGGGCAACCUGCCUGUAAGACUGGGAUAACACCGGGAAACCGGUGCUAAUACCGGAUAAUCCUUUUCCUCUCAUGAGGAAAAGCUGAAAGUCGGUUUCGGCUGACACUUACAGAUGGGCCCGCGGCGCAUUAGCUAGUUGGUGAGGUAACGGCUCACCAAGGCGACGAUGCGUAGCCGACCUGAGAGGGUGAUCGGCCACACUGGGACUGAGACACGGCCCAGACUCCUACGGGAGGCAGCAGUAGGGAAUCUUCCACAAUGGACGAAAGUCUGAUGGAGUAACGCCGCGUGAGCGAUGAAGGCCUUCGGGUCGUAAAGCUCUGUUGUUAGGGAAGAACAAGUACCGGAGUAACUGCCGGUACCUUGACGGUACCUAACCAGAAAGCCACGGCU